rnacentral:rRNA from 1 species
GUAUGGGGCAAGCGUUAUCCGGAUUUACUGGGUGUAAAGGGAGCGUAGGCGGUACGGCAAGUCAGAAGUGAAAGCCUGGGGCUCAACCCCGGAAUUGCUUUUGAAACUGUCGAACUAGAGUGUCGGAGGGGUAAGCGGAAUUCCUAGUGUAGCGGUGAAAUGCGUAGAUAUUAGGAGGAACACCGGUGGCGAAGGCGGCUUACUGGACGACCACUGACGCUGAGGCUCGAAAGCGUGGGGAGCAAA